AUCGCUUCUUGGCCUUUUGGCUAAGAUCAAGUGUAGUAUUUGAAUUCUGAAAUUUCAUCUUCCUCCUGCAGGGAGAUGGAAUUCCUUGACCAUUA
rnacentral:snRNA from 1 species